GUGGGUAGUUUGACUGGGGCGGUCUCCUCCUAAAGAGUAACGGAGGAGCACGAAGGUUGGCUAAUCCUGGUCGGACAUCAGGAGGUUAGUGCAAUGGCAUAAGCCAGCUUGACUGCGAGCGUGACGGCGCGAGCAGGUGCGAAAGCAGGUCAUAGUGAUCCGGUGGUUCUGAAUGGAAGGGCCAUCGCUCAACGGAUAAAAGGUACUCCGGGGAUAACAGGCUGAUACCGCCCAAGAGUUCAUAUCGACGGCGGUGUUUGGCACCUCGAUGUCGGCUCAUCACAUCCUGGGGCUGAAGUAGGUCCCAAGGGUAUGGCUGUUCGCCAUUUAAAGUGGUACGCGAGCUGGGUUUAGAACGUCGUGAGACAGUUCGGUCCCUAUCUGCCGUGGGCGCUGGAGAACUGAGGGGGGCUGCUCCUAGUACGAGAGGACCGGAGUGGACGCAUCACUGGUGUUCGGGUUGUCAUGCCAAUGGCACUGCCCGGUAGCUAAAUGCGGAAGAGAUAAGUGCUGAAAGCAUCUAAGCACGAAACUUGCCCCGAGAUGAGUUCUCCCUGAGACUUUAGGUCUCCUGAAGGAACGUUGAAGACGACGACGUUGAUAGGCCGGGUGUGUAAGCGCAGCGAUGCGUUGAGCUAACCGGUACUAAUGAACCGUGAGGCUUAAC
rnacentral:rRNA from 2 species